UAGGGAAUCUUCGGCAAUGGGGGGAACCCUGACCGAGCAACGCCGCGUGAGUGAAGAAGGUUUUCGGAUCGUAAAGCUCUGUUGUUAAGGAAGAACGAGUGUGAGAAUGGAAAGUUCAUACUGUGACGGUACUUAACCAGAAAGGGACGGCUAACUACGUGCCAGCAGCCGCGGUAAUACGUAGGUCCCGAGCGUUGUCCGGAUUUAUUGGGCGUAAAGCGAGCGCAGGCGGUUAGAUAAGUCUGAAGUUAAAGGCAGUGGCUCAACCAUUGUAGGCUUUGGAAACUGUUUAACUUGAGUGCAGAAGGGGGGAGUGGAAUUCCAUGUGUAGCGGUGAAAUGCGUAGAUAUAUGGAGGAACACCGGUGGCGAAAGCGACUCUCUGGUCUGUAACUGACGCUGAGGCUCGAAAGCGUGGGGAGCGAACAGG
rnacentral:rRNA from 1 species